AGGACGAACGCUGGCGGCGUGCUUAACACAUGCAAGUCGAGCGGAAAGGCUCCUUCGGGGGUACUCGGGCGGCGAACGGGUGAGUAACACGUGAGUAAUCUGCCCUUGGCUUCGGGAUAGCCACCGGAAACGGUGAUUAAUACCGGAUACGACACAUCACUGCAUGGUGCGUGUGUGGAAAGUUUUUUCGGCCAGGGAUGUGCUCGCGGCCUAUCAGCUUGUUGGUGGGGUAAUGGCCUACCAAGGCUUCGACGGGUAGCCGGCCUGAGAGGGUGACCGGCCACACUGGGACUGAGACACGGCCCAGACUCCUACGGGAGGCAGCAGUGGGGAAUAUUGGACAAUGGGCGGAAGCCUGAUCCAGCAACGCCGCGUGAGGGAUGACGGCCUUCGGGUUGUAAACCUCUUUCAGCACAGACGAAGCGCAAGUGACGGUAUGUGCAGAAGAAGGACCGGCCAACUACGUGCCAGCAGCCGCGGUAAUACGUAGGGUCCGAGCGUUGUCCGGAAUUAUUGGGCGUAAAGGGCUCGUAGGCGGUUUGUCGCGUCGGGAGUGAAAACACCGGGCUUAACUCGGUGCUUGCUUUCGAUACGGGCAGACUAGAGGCAUUCAGGGGAGAACGGAAUUCCUGGUGUAGCGGUGAAAUGCGCAGAUAUCAGGAGGAACACCGGUGGCGAAGGCGGUUCUCUGGGAAUGUCCUGACGCUGAGGAG
rnacentral:rRNA from 1 species